UACGUAGGUCCCGAGCGUUGUCCGGAUUUAUUGGGCGUAAAGCGAGCGCAGGUGGUUUAUUAAGUCUGAUGUAAAAGGCAGUGGCUCAACCAUUGUAUGCAUUGGAAACUGGUAGACUUGAGUGCAGGAGAGGAGAGUGGAAUUCCAUGUGUAGCGGUGAAAUGCGUAGAUAUAUGGAGGAACACCGGUGGCGAAAGCGGCUCUCUGGCCUGUAGCUGACACUGAGGCUCGAAAGCGUGGGGAGCAAACAGG
rnacentral:rRNA from 1 species